CUCUUUGUGCACCCGCCCACACGGUUUGCCGUGUUUUCACCCUUCUUUGUUCUCCACCGGUCUGGGCAGGGUCUGAGGACUCCGGAGAGCAAGGCAUGGGUCCGCCUCGUGCCGCAGGUUCCUGGCCCACGCCAGCCGUACCCAGUAGCACAAUGGGUGAGCUCUGAGGACUUCACAGGGGCCCCAUCCCCUCACCUAGAUGAGGGCUAACCUUGGAAUCCAGACAAAGGUGGAAGUGACCUAGAUGUGACCUGAAUGAGCUAAUCAUCUAAUGAGAGCCAGCCCUUUGUCCUGCCCACAUGAAGGUGGGUGGUUAGCUCACUUUUCAGGGUAAUAAAGCAGUAAAGGCGGGGUGGAGGGGUUGUUGAAGGCUUUGUAUGAUGUCACUAGGGCCUGUAAAGUUAGCACAAUGAACCCGCUGUGCAGAUUGUAAAGCUGACCUUGUUGGAAUAUCCUGGUUUUAGAAACACAUAAAUCAGCUUUGUGUUUGCUGUUCCCCUGCUGAAAAUGUUCUUCUGAAUUUUCAGGGCUUUGCUGCUACGCACUGACAAGUUGGACGGCUUUUUAUUGCUUUGUUGCCAGUUAUCUGAACAUGAGAGGCUGUAAGGUGUAAUCUGCGAGCCCUGCGCCCAGACUGAACCAGGGCCUCCCUUGAACAUGAGUAUUAGACAAAUGAAAUAAGAACUUAUCUUGCCCAGACUAUAUAAUGGCUUGGAAAUGCAUAGUUUCCUGAACGAUCUCAAUAAAAUACUUUUAAAAGUA
rnacentral:lncRNA from 1 species